rnacentral:rRNA from 1 species
GGGUUCACACGCUUGUCCGGCCGUCUGAUAUUUCCGUCGUCGUGUCAGACGUCGCGACCUGUUUGUCGUCGGUCCUUGCUCGGAGGAAGCGCGAUCGAGUUCGUUUGCGCUGCGCGUUCCAGCGCGCAGUGCGAUGAAGACGUGGUUCUCUGGCUGACGAUGGACAGUAAGCAACGGUGUCCGACGCCGUGUCUCGCACUCUGUGUCGGUACCGGUCUGCGACGAUUUCUUCGGGCCUCUUUCCGACCCGUCUUGAAACACGGACCAAGGAGUCUAACAUGCGCGCGAGUCGCGGGGUUUCGAGCGUACCGUGGUGCGCUCGUUAUCAGCGAAACCCGUACGUUGAAGGCGUAAUGAAAGUGAAGAGGGAAGAUGGCGUUCCGAGUCCACGUACCGUGAUCGUGUGUCGCGGCCGGACGUCCGCACUCCCAGGGCGUCUCAAUGGCUCG